CCUACGGGCGGCAGCAGUGGGGGAUAUUGCACAAUGGGGGGAACCCUGAUGCAGCGACGCCGCGUGGGUGAAGAAGCGCCUCGGCGCGUAAAGCCCUGUCAGCAGGGAAGAAAAUGACGGUACCUGAAGAAGAAGCCCCGGCUAACUACGUGCCAGCAGCCGCGGUAAUACGUAGGGGGCAAGCGUUAUCCGGAUUUACUGGGUGUAAAGGGGGCGCAGACGGCGAUGCAAGCCAGGAGUGAAAGCCCGGGGCCCAACCGCGGGACUGCAUUGGGAACUACCGGGCUGGAGUGCCGGAGAGGUAGGCGGAAUUCCUAGUGUAGCGGUGAAAUGCGUAGAUAUUAGGAGGAACACCAGUGGCGAAGGCGGCCUACUGGACGGUGACUGACGCUGAGGCUCGAAAGCGUGGGGAGCAAACAGGAUUAGAUACCCGGGUAGUC
rnacentral:rRNA from 1 species